rnacentral:pre_miRNA from 1 species
GAUUUCAACUGAAAAAGUCAUCAACAACAAAGUUGUAUAACUCAUCAAGAUCUAUAACUUUCAUUUUGGUCAUUUCUUCAUCCGACAAAGUGAUAGUAACAUUGUUCACAAAAUUCACAUAUAUCUCAUCUGGUUUUAUAAACUAUGACAUAGAUAUGUCAAUUUUGUGAACAAUGUUACUAAUACUUUGUCGGAUGAAGAAAUAAAAAAAAAGUUAUAGAUCUUGAUGAGUUAUACAACUUUGUUGUUGAUGACUUUUUUAGUUGAAAUU